ACUUUAUUUUUGAGUUUAAUUACAGUGAGACGCCUCAUUCUGUACGGCUGUUAAGACCUAUCUUAACAGGGAAUAGAUAAAUAGGCAUUAGCCAAUAUAAUACCUACUUGCCUACGCCAUCUAGGUUAGGGCUCUCAAACUUCUUAGAUAUUAGACAUAAAUCACCAGUAGACAGCACCACAGUUCCAUAAUAUGUAAAUAAGGUGACAUCUACCGAAACUCUUAUGUACUAGCAUAAUUACUCAACAACUUAGUUUAGGUAUGUCAGUAGAUGUAAUAGUUCAUAACUAAUCAGUAGUGUGGCGCUGUACGUAGCUAUAUAAGGACCGACUUAGAUUUAUAUAAAAUCACUUUUUCCAAUCAGCCUUCUGCUUAACAUUAAACCUAAUGUAGUAUAUUCCCUGCUUUUAUUUGGCCGCCAUUACCUCCACGCUGGACAUAAUGGUGACCCCUAGUUUAAAUCGCGGUUAAUUCAAGUACUAUACAGCGAAUCGCUGGUAAAUUUAGUAGCAUUUGCAACCCAGUACAUCGAGGAAUCGCCGCGUAUCCUGAUUUAGGCCGGGAGAGCAACGUUACCACGUAGGUUGCAACCGCGUGGGGCUCCGCCGACCUGAAGAAGCUGGAGAGGUGACUAGGAGGCGACCACACCUCUCGAUCGAGCAGCCUGAGCGAAGGCGCCGACCGAGCCACCAAAGCGGGACCACGUGCGUGGCACCGCAGCCCGCGCAGGGAACGACGACCGCAACUACCAAAGGGACCACGUGGGUGGUACCACACCAGAGGCAGAAGGAGUGCCCAAGCGAGGGCAAUCACCACGCGCACGAGCUUCAACCGAGAAGGCAAGUGAGCUGGCAAUUCCUAACCUAUUUACCAAAUUUCCCUACCAAAUUCAACUGUAAUCGUUUAAUCACCCUACCAAUUGUAAAUUGUAAUCGUUCUUAAUCAUGGCUAACGAAACAGAAAUUUCCAAAAGAACCCUAGAAGAGUUAGAAAUUAGGCAGUUAAAAAAUAAACGAGGUGUCUAUAAGCGAAAACUAACUGUAUUUAAGAAAUUUAUAGAAAAAAUCGACUCAAGUGCAUUGACGGCCGAAAUAAUUGUAGACAUAAGUUUAAGAAUAGAUCAAUUACCAAAGUUAUACAAUGAUUUCUCUGAGAUACAGGACCGGAUCGAGACACUGUGCAGCGAGGAAGGCGACAUUGAGGCCCAAGAGGCCGAACGUGAGUCUUUCGAGAACACAUUUUACCGACUCAGCGCUAAGGGCAAGCUGCUGGCGAAAAUAGAUAACGAAUCAAUACCAAAUGACCAUAGUCCGCAAGCUCCACAGCAACAGCCCCUCGGACUUCAAAACCUUCCUAAAGAACCGAGCUGACCGGCUGGAAGCGACCAGCCCAGCAGUACCAUCGGACGCACCCAGCACUUCCAAGAAGGCCAUGGUAACCACGUCCGAACCUAUUAAGGUAACCUCCAAACAAUUUAAACCUAACCAGUGUCCAUAUUGUUCGAGUACGCAUUACAUUAACCAGUGUCCAAAGUUUAGUGCAUUAAACGUGAUCGCGCGAAUCCGAGCCGUGAAUAAAUUACGAUUAUGCUUUAAUUGUUUGUCCGCGACGCAUGUCUUAACAAACUGCAGGGCCAGUACAUGUCGAGUAUGCAAGGGCAAGCAUCAUACGUUACUACACAAACCAAAUACCAACACUCAUAUAGGUAGUAACCCCGCACCAACGCGAUUACCAAUCUCAACAUUAACCGACGAACAACCGAGUUCUAGUCAAAUCGAGACCGCCUUGUCUAAUAACACCCUGAUCGGAAAACAAGCAAACAAUACUCGAAAUAGGUCAGUUUUCCUCACAACAGCCCAAGUGCUUGUUAGGGAUAAGCAUAACAAUGUGCAUAAAAUGAAGGCAUUUUUAGACAAUGGCUCGCAAGAAAACUUUAUUACCCAAAACGCGGUAAAAAAGUUACAAUUACCUAAACAACAACAUGCCUUAAAUGUCAUAGGUUUCAAUGAAAAAGUGUCUACUGUCCUAGAAUCGUGUGACAUAACAUUGCAUUCCUUAGACGGAACCUUUACGACUAAUUUGUCCUGUUUUAUUUCGCCUACUGUUUGUACAACCAAUAUUGAAAUACCAAACGUGCAACGUUGGCACAUUCCGCCGCGUUAUAAAUUAGCAGAUGACGAAUUUAACUUAGCUCAAGCUGUAGAUUUGCUGAUCGGUGGCGAAAUAUUUUUCGAUUUACUUCUCACCGGCAAAUACUCGCUCGGGCCUGGAUUACCGGUUCUGAGACGCUCACGCCUGGGGUGGUUAGUUACGGGUCCCGUACAUAAAAAAUCCGAUUCUGCUAUUCAAUGUAAAAUUACAGUUGAAACCCAAUUAAAAAAGUUUUGGGAAAUAGAGGAGGGUUCCGCACCAAAUUUACCUUAUGAUGAAAAACAAUGUGAGGAUAUAUUUAUGAAAACCCACACUCACAACUCUGAAGGUAAUUUUGAAAUUGAACUUCCAUUAAAGCAGCCACCUACCAAGCUAGGUCAAUCUAGGCACAUAGCAUACCGGAGGUUCAAAACGUUAGAGACUAAGUUCGAGCGGAACCCCGAAUUUAAAGAUAAAUAUGUGAAUUUCAUGCGCGAGUUCGAACAAGCUGGCCAUAUGAUUAAAUUACGAGAUAAUUAUGAUGGCCCAUGUAAUUUUCUACCCCACCAGGCUAUUUUUCGCGACUCCCCCUCUACCCCGAUUCGUAUUGUUUUUGACUGCUCAUGCAGGACCGAUAACGGCGUUUCAUUGAAUGAUAUCCAAUACAAAGGCUCAAUAAUACAGGACGAACUUAUAAAUAUACUUCUACGGUUCCGAAAGUACCAAUAUGUUAUUAACGCUGACAUACAAAAAAUGUACAGAUGUAUUUAUUUAAAACCAAAUCAACAAUACCUACAAUGCAUAUUUUGGCGUGAAAAUACUCACCAACGACUCCAAAUUUAUAUGCUGACUACAUUAAGUUUCGGCUUAAAGUCAGCACCACAUAUUGCAACCAGAUGUUUGUUACAAUUGUCAAACGAGAACCAACACACAUUUCCAGCAGCUGCAGAGGCCAUAGCGAACCAGUUCUACAUGGACGAUUUUAUCGCCGGCGGUGACGACGAGAAUCAGGUAGCCGAAACUGCAUCACAGGUGAACGAGAUCCUGCGAGGAGCCAACUUCACGCUGCGGAAAUGGAAGUCCAACUCCGAAGCCAUCAUAAAACGGGUGAGCGAAACACAUACACACCAAAACACAUCUACCACCGAAUUUGGAGAUAAAACACAUAAGGUCCUGGGUUUAGCGUGGUCUAGUGACUCAGAUGAGCUUAUGUAUACCAUUAAAGAAAACCAAAUUUCACACCCAAUCACCAAAAGAAAGGUACUAGGGGUAAUUUCGUCCAUUUUUGACCCCCUAGGCCUGACAGGACCAGUCAUUGUAGUAGCCAAAAUAUUUAUCCAAAAAUUAUUUAAGGCUCAAUUAGAUUGGGAUACCGAAUUAACACAAGACUUGAUCCAAGAAUGGAACACAUUCUAUCGAGACUUGUUUUUAUUAAACCAAUUAAAAAUUUCGAGAUGUACAGUCAUACCUAAUUAUGUAACGAUACAAAUUCAUGGAUUUUGUGACAGCAGUAUUAAAGCCUAUGGCGCUGCCAUUUAUAUACGAUCGAGCGAUAGGGUAGGAAACGUCCAAGUUCACCUACUUUAUUCAAAAUCAAAAAUCACACCAAUUAAAUCCCAAACUGUUCCAAAUUUGGAACUUUGUUCCAGUUUACUUCUCGCAACACAUGUAGACAAAGUAAAACGAGCAUUAAAAUGUGACCUUUCCGGAAUCAACCUGUGGUCAGAUUCAAAAAUAACUUUGUGUUGGAUUAAAAAUAGUAACAUUAAAUUAACUUGUUUUGUUAGUAACAGAGUCACAAAAAUAUUAUCACUUACAAACAAGCAAGACUGGUCCUGGGUCCGCUCGGAGGAGAACCCCGCCGACCUUUUGUCCCGAGGGGUAGCACCAGGCAAGCUGGAAACCAACCAGUUAUGGUGGUCCGGGCCCGUGUGGUUAAGCCAGAGUUCUGACACAUGGCCAACCCACGAUUCUAAGUCACUGGAUCACAUACCCGAGGCCGAGAGCGACGUAGACAUAACACUCACCUUGGCUAUUAACACAGAAUCUAACGACACGAUACAAUACCUUUUUCACAGGUGGUCUAGUGAUAAAACACUUAUUCAUGUAUUAGCAUACAUACUUCGAUUUAUAUAUAACACAAAAAAUAAAACACGAACAAUUAAUCCAAAUAAAAAACUAUCAGGACCAUUGUCCGUAGAAGAAUUAAAAAAAUCGGAUCACACAUUAAUCAGACAUUCACAAAUGGAAUCAUUUCCACACGAAUAUAAAUUGUUGCAAAAUAACAAACCGGUUCUUAACAAAUCCAAAAUAUUAUCUUUACACCCAUUCAUGAAGGACGGACUCAUUCGCGUAGGCGGACGAAUCGGUCUUUCGCAUUAUGCAUAUGAAAAAAAGCACCCUUUAAUACUAAGUCACGAACACACGUUUACCAAAAUACUGAUGGAAAACGCACACAUACGUACUCUGCACGCUGGCCCUCAGUUAUUACUAUCAACUAUUCGCGAGCGCAUCUGGCCAACUAAAGGUAGAAUGUUAGCUUCAAAAAUUGUAAAUAAAUGCGUUCCGUGUUUUAGAGCAAAUCCAAAGACUACUAACCCUAUAAUGGGAGACUUAC